UUAUAAAUGAUGAACACUUACACAGUAUCUGAUUAAUUUUGAGAAUCUGUUUUAGAAACUCAGGAUUAUUUUCCAGAUGACAAUCGAGGCAUUUGUCUGAUGUAAUA